rnacentral:rRNA from 1 species
CUUGCUUCUCCGCCGGCGACCGGCGCACGGGUGAGUAACACGUAUGCAACCUCGCCCCUGUCAGGGGGACAACCCGCCGAAGGCGGGCUAAACCCGCGUACAUGCCACCGGGGCAUCCCGGAGGCAGGAAAGGCUUCGGCCGGACAGGGAUGGGCAUGCGGCGCAUUAGGCAGUAGGCGGGGGUAACGGCCCACCUAACCGACGAUGCGUAGGGGUUCUGAGAGGAAGGUCCCCCACACUGGUACUGUGACACGGACCAGACUCCUACGGGAGGCAGCAG